CCAAAAGUAAUCUAUCAUGAUAUCUGCUGGGAGUUUUGUCCUGACGUACUCUAGGUUAUUCUUAAUGCACAAUCAUUUUCCUCGUGUGUAUGUUGCUUCAGUUAUAGCUGUUGCAGUCCAAAUGGUUUACAAAACUGACUACACAUACUUUUGUUUUUCUUAAGGACUUUCAUAAACUUAAUUUCUUUGCAAUGGAAUUCCAUUAGACAAUUUACUGGAACUCUGGACCUGUAUGCAUCUUGAAUUUAUUCUUAAAAUGUUAAACUCUGGGGAAAAAACUGCUUUUACGGAAUUGGUUAUUUAAACAAAUUCAAUAUAUUUAUCUUUUGCUCAUCUUUCGGAGAUAUCAUUAGUAUCUGUAUCAAUGCAUGGUCCUGAAAUACCAUUUAUGAGAUGUAGGAAAUGUUAGUGGGACAAUAAGAGAACUUACAGUUUCUGGAAUUGUAGGACUUCUAUUUCAAGAAAAGGGAACGAGAUGAAUUCUAGGAAACUUAGAUGAAAAUAUUAGAAUUUUCAUAAAAUUGAGGUCCCUUCAAAUGCAAAAGUAAGAAAUGUAUAAUUUCAAAUUUAAAAUUUUAUGAGAAAUUGUAGGACAAUGAUCGAUACUAGAAGCCACUCAUUAGAGCUUCUAUUCCCUGCUUCCCACCCAAAUAAAUAGGACAAAUGUGACAAGUCAGAAUUUGGCUCCCUACAUGACAGGUAAUUUUGGCUAUAACAUCCUUUUGACAUGUUGUUCUGGUUUAAGGUUUUCACCAAUUUCUUCUUGCUUUUAUUAGGUCAUAUCCUUUAAUUGUUACUGUUACUAAACGUAAAGUUGGUUUUCCACUGUUAAAUUUUGAGUUAAUUAAAUGUGUAUGGGUCAUGUAAUUUAUCUGCACUGUUACAAGGGUUACUCAAAAUUUGGAAUUAGUUAAAUGCAUCUGGGUCAUGUCAGGUAGUUCUAUUAUAUUGAGUCUGCACCGUAUUUGAUUAAGUGAUGAAACCCAACUUAUCUUUGAUAGCGGUGUAUCCAAUUUAAAACUUUCGUUCGACCAGCCCACUUACCCUCAUUUGCAGCCCAUCCCAUCUGACCUGAACUUAACCCAUGUAAUUGCCUUAUGAUCGAGUUAUAUUUCAUCAGAUAUGAAUUCGCCUCAUUUCUUCCUUGCAUCCCUUUCUACUCUCUUGGAACCUUGCAACAUUUGAAAUCGAUGACUUGGCAACCUAAAGACCAUGGCAAUAAGUUCCAUGGAAAUAAGUUCAAUUAGGGGUGCUAAAUCGUAUCCGUAUCUGAGGAAACAUCCAUUAUCGUAUCCGUUAGGAUACAUAUAUGGUUACUCAAAUCUGUAACAGACAAGAUAUGGUUAUGGAUAUGGUUUUGUAGUGAAAUAUCCGGAUCCGCAUCCGAAAUGUCCGAAAACAUAUUAGUCAAUUGUUUUAAUACUUAGAUUAUAGAUUUGAUGUUAAUUUUGAUGAUCAUUAUGUUUUAUCUUAGCUUUUCAGAUAUAAUGCAAAUAUUAAUGACUCUUUUAUAUCACAUGAACUAUAAUUUUUUUCAAUAUUGUCUAGUUUUCUCAUAUCUGUUUUGUAUCCGCUUAUAUUUCUGCAUGUAUAUCCGUAUCUGUAUCCAAUUUUAACGGAUAUGGAUGUGAAUUUUUCUUACCGAGAUAUAUCCAUAUCCGUAACUUUAUCCGAGAUGGGUAAGUGGAUAUGGAUAUGGUAAGUAUCAUAUAUGACUCGUAUCUGGACAGAAUGCACCCCUAAGUUCAAUGCUUAUGACGAAACUGUUGCUGGCGGUAAAUGUAUGAUGGUUCAGGUUCUCCUUCUCUCUCAUAUCUAAUUGAAUCUAGACACCCGUGUCUUGGAAUGUUCUGAGCCAUGUCCAGGUGACAUUCCCCUUCUGCUCUGUUAUCAAUCUUGACAAAACUUCCUCGUGUCCUACACAUCGUCAGGCACAUCUUGGCACUAUCCUUAUCUGAGUGGAAGUAAGAACCCAUUAACCAUGUUGGUGCUUCACGGUGCAUGUGAAAACAUUAAAUAAAUUAUAAUAUUUGUAACCAAACAACAAUGUAAUUGUCAUCAAGUGAUGAAAUUUCAUAAAAAUUCAUUCAAAACCUAAAAAUUUGGAAAGGUUUACACGGAAUCCAACAAAAUGGUGAGAAAAUGGAGGAUGCUGAUACGGUGAUAUAUGACUUUGAAAGGUCAAAUGUGAUGUCAAAGUAGGAAAUUUUUUGAAUUUAGCUUCUCAAUUGCAGUAGAGUGCAUGCUUGAGAUCCUUGCAUUUUGUCUCAGUAAAACAAAUUUAUGGUUCCUUUUCAAUGCUUGAUUUGCUCAUUCUUUGUAAAAUAUAUCAUUGUUCAUUGUCUAUUGACAACUCAAUACAUAGCAAAAUCUCCUUUUUUUCUCAAGCAUUCAAAUCCUUACAAUUGCAAAUGUAGUCCCCCUAAAAAAAGCAUUUAUUUAGCCACUAGGCUUCAGUUUUGCUUAGCAACUCACUAGAAGUGCUAUUAGAGAGAGAAUUUGUGUGUGUGUUUUUUUAAUCUUCAAUUGGAUCAUCUUUGCUCCAUUUCUUAUGACCAUAUUUGCUAGAGUAAAGAUGUAUAAAAGACUAAAAGAGACUUGGUUCUUAUAUCAAGUGUGUUAUUGUUGAUAUCUUGGCGGUCGAGAGAUUGACAUAAUAGAAACCCCAUAGGUAGGGAAGAGGUUUAGGCUGUGUGGAAUUAGGCAACCUGCUGAUCCAUUGUGUCUUGUGCCCUGGUUGUGUUUGUUCUCAUAAUCUAAAUUGCUGCUAAUGAUUUAUUCUAAUUAUUGAGCUAUAUUUUGCUAUUUAGGUGCCAUUAUCGAAUUUAAAUCUCUUGUAUGAAAAAUCUUAUUAAUCUUGGGUGUUUCAUACUUGCAUCAUUUCUAGAAUUAUAUUCUUAAUCUUUUUUAAUAUUGGGUUAAUUUCAUUUUUUUUCUAUCUUGACUUGCGAGAUUAUGAUACUUUUGAUUCAUUGUUCUAUGAUUCCUGAAAGUAAAGAGUGGGUAUGACUACUGAGAAAAGACUAGUUACCGAGUCCACCCUGUUUAUUGUAUUGGUGUGCAUAGACCUUCCACUUUUAUCACGUGACAAGACUGUGUUGUUGUGACAAAUGAGCUAUCCAAUAUGCCUUCAGCCAUAUAGAAAAGUUUUGGAAGUGCGAGUUCCAGAAUUGUCCAACUAGGUUCUAAUGUUUGGAGUUUGGAAAAAAAAAAUCAGAAAUCAAGAAAUUAGUUGGGAAUAGUUUCAGUGUGCUGGUAAGUGCAGAGCAGAUGUAUUUUCUCUCCAUAUAGAAACGGUAAACCACAAGGUUAAUAGAAAAAAGAAGUGGUUGAUGGUUGAUGGUUGAUGGUUGAUAGUGAUAGACUAGUAUCUGUGGCUGGUAUUUGAAUAUCUGAGAACUGAGUUUCUGCAUUUUACAAUUAAUUCACAUAUAAUAGUAAUUAAUUCAGCAAAAUUUUGUUUGAUCAUAAAAGUAAUAGCACAUUGAUUAAUUUCUUACCAAAUUCAUGAAUUGCAUGUGACUUCUUUGUAUUUGACGAAUACAUUUGUCUACUGGAAAAUGGUCUGCUGAGCUAUUCUCCGUCAGUUAUCUUCCUGAAGACGUGUUUUCAAACCUGUAAGAGUACUUAACCUGUCUGUAGUUUAAAGUUGAGUGCACGAGACACCAAUUACCGGCAAAUUUUAGAGGCUCAGUCUUAUGAAAUUAUUUACUGUAAAUAGCAGGAAUAGCUUUUGCUUUAAGUGUGUUGAGUUCCCGUUGAUGAUGAUGUUGUAGUAUAUGGGAAAUGUGAUACAGGCACAAAGACAAUAGUUUGAUGUUUGGAGGUGAAAUUGAGUUGAUAUUAAGUACAUGUUUUUUUUCUUUUUAAUUCUGAUGCAUAUGUGUAGAGAAAUAAAGGCAAAUACCUUUUACUUUCA